CAAAAUGUAGCUUAACUAGAGCAACUCGCUUACAUCGAGAAGACAUCUGUGCAAUUCAGAUCAUUUUGAGCCUAAAAUCUA
rnacentral:tRNA from 1 species